rnacentral:lncRNA from 1 species
CUUACACAUUGACUGGCCUUCAAAAGAAGCAUACUGGAAAUGGAAUCUGUCAUUUGCCUGAAGUAAAUAGAGUGGCUAGACCCCCAUUAGAGGGGGCUUCACACUCAUGAAGAAUAGAUUGUGUGAACCUUUGGGAAAGAUGCACUCCAAGGGUUGUGUGUGACUUGGAAAUGGAGCUUAAAUGAUGCCUGUAUCCAACUGGUACAAAUCACAUUAUGCCUGGAUUUCCUCUCAACAUCUUCACAGAGGGAAAGAAACUGAAGAACAGGGUAUAUUAGUGCCUGACCAAAGAGUGAAUGAUUGGGUGGAGCACCCUGCCUGAGGAGAUGGAAACCUGGAACAAAGACGUGUUUUUGAAAUGUCUGUGGCUCUGCUUUGCCUCAUCUCUCCUGCUGGAUCUGAAGCAGCGCCUGGCAAUAAAGCAGAACCAUGCACCCAGCAACACCUUUGAUCUCGACCAUAUGGAGUUCCUCCUUGCUCUUGAAAAAAUCUCCCUUGUCUCCGAGAGAAACUGGGGCCCCCAGAUGGCCACAUACCACUCCUGACCACGACUUCAUUGAUUAUGCUAUUUUCUGAUUGGUCCUGAUUGAAAAUAAAUAAAACGUGCCUUUGGAAUGGGAUGCA